rnacentral:rRNA from 1 species
AAAUUGAAGAGUUUGAUCAUGGCUCAGAUUGAACGCUGGCGGCAGGCCUAACACAUGCAAGUCGAGCGGAAACGAGUUAUCAGAACCUUCGGGGGACAAUAACGGCGUCGAGCGGCGGACGGGUGAGUAAUGCCUAGGAAAUUGCCCUGAUGUGGGGGAUAACCAUUGGAAACGAUGGCUAAUACCGCAUGAUGCCUACGGGCCAAAGAGGGGGACCU